UACAGAGGUCUCAAGCGUUGUUCGGAUUCAUUGGGCGUAAAGGGUGCGUAGGCGGCGCGGUAAGUCGGGGUGUGAAAUCUUGGAGCUUAACUCCGAAACUGCAUUCGAUACUGCCGUGCUUGAGGACUGGAGAGGAGACUGGAAUUUACGGUGUAGCGGUGAAAUGCGUAGAUAUCGUAAGGAAGACCAGUGGCGAAGGCGGGUCUCUGGACAGUUCCUGACGCUGAAGCACGAAGGCCAGGGGGAGCGAACGGGG
rnacentral:rRNA from 1 species